UAGGGAAUAUUGGACAAUGGGCGCAAGCCUGAUCCAGCCAUGUCGCGUGAGUGAAGAAGGCCCUCGGGUUGUAAAGCUCUUUUGUACGGAAAGAAAAGCAUCGGGUUAAUACCCCGGUGUUCUGACGGUACCGGAAGAAUAAGCACCGGCUAACUUCGUGCCAGCAGCCGCGGUAAUACGAAGGGUGCAAGCGUUACUCGGAAUUACUGGGCGUAAAGCGUGCGUAGGUGGUUCGUUAAGUCUGAUGUGAAAGCCCUGGGCUCAACCUGGGAAUGGCAUUGGAGACUGGCGGACUUGCGUGCGGUAGAGGGUAGCGGAAUUCGCGGUGUUGCAGUGAAAUGCGUAGAGGUCGGGAGGAACAGCCGUGGCGAAGGCGGCUACCUGGACCAGCACUGACACUGAGGCACGAAAGCGUGGGGAGCAAAC
rnacentral:rRNA from 1 species